GCAGCCGCGGUAAUUCCAGCUCCAAUAGCGUAUAUUAACAUUGUUGUCGUUAAAAAGCUCGUAGUCGAACUUCGGGUCCUGUAGGCCGGUCCGCCUUCUUGGUGUGUACUUGCUCUAUGGGACCUUACCUCCUGGUGAACGGCGAUGUCCUUUACUGGGUGUCGUCGCAAACCAGGACGUUUACUUUGAAAAAAUUAGAGUGUUCAAAGCAGGCCCGAGCCGCCUGGAUACCGCAGCUAGGAAUAAUGGAAUAGGACCGCGGUUCUAUUUUGUUGGUUUUCGGAACUGAGGCCAUGAUUAAGAGGGACGGCCGGGGGCAUUCGUAUUGCGCCGCUAGAGGUGAAAUUCUUGGACCGGCGCAAGACGGACCAGAGCGAAAGCAUUUGCCAAGAAUGUUUUCAUUAAUCAAGAACGAAAGUUAGGGUAUCGAAAACGAUUAGAUACCGUUGUAGUC
rnacentral:rRNA from 13 species